rnacentral:rRNA from 1 species
UACAGAGGUCCCGAGCGUUGUUCGGAUUUAUUUGGGCGUAAAGGGUGCGUAGGCGGCGGAGUAAGUUUGGGUGUGAAAUCCCGGGGCUUAACCUCGGAAUUGCAUUCAAUACUGCUUUCGCUUGAGUACUGGAGAGGAGGCUGGAAUUUACGGUGUAGCAGUGAAAUGCGUAGAUAUCGUAAGGAAGGCCGGUGGCGAAAGCGAGCCUCUGGACAGUUACUGACGCUGAUGCACGAAGGCCAAGGGGAGCAAACAGG